UACGAAGGGGGCUAGCGUUACUCGGAAUUACUGGGCGUAAAGCGCACGUAGGCGGUUUGUUAAGUCAGGGGUGAAAUCCCAGAGCUCAACUCUGGAACUGCCUUUGAUACUGGCAAGCUAGAGUCCGGAAGAGGUAAGUGGAACUCCUAGUGUAGAGGUGGAAUUCGUAGAUAUUAGGAAGAACACCAGUGGCGAAGGCGGCUUACUGGUCCGGAACUGACGCUGAGGUGCGAAAGCGUGGGGAGCAAACAGG
rnacentral:rRNA from 1 species